UACGUAGGGGGCGAGCGUUGUCCGGAAUUAUUGGGCGUAAAGAGCGUGUAGGCGGUUCGGUAAGUCUACUGUGAAAUCCUGGGGCUCAACCCUGGGCGUGCAGCGGAUACUGCCGGGCUAGAGGAUGGUAGAGGCGAGUGGAAUUCCGAGUGUAGCGGUGAAAUGCGCAGAUAUUCGGAGGAACACCAGUGGCGAAGGCGGCUUACUGGUCCGGUUCUGACGCUGAGGCGCGAAAGCGUGGGGAGCAAACAGG
rnacentral:rRNA from 1 species